CACGUAGGGGGCAAGCGUUGUCCGGAUUUAUUGGGCGUAAAGAGCGUGUAGGCGGAUCCUUAAGUCAGGGGUGAAAUCCCGAGGCUCAACCUCGGAACUGCCUUUGAUACUGGGGAUAUCGAGUCCGGGAGAGGUGAGUGGAACUGCGAGUGUAGAGGUGAAAUUCGUAGAUAUUCGCAAGAACACCAGUGGCGAAGGCGGCUCACUGGCCCGGUACUGACGCUGAGGUGCGAAAGCGUGGGGAGCAAACAGG
rnacentral:rRNA from 1 species